rnacentral:rRNA from 1 species
UACAGAGGUCUCAAGCGUUGUUCGGAUUCAUUGGGCGUAAAGGGUGUGUAGGUGGCGCCGUAAGUCGGGUGUGAAAUUUCGGAGCUUAACUCCGAAACUGCAUUCGAUACUGCGGUGCUUGAGGACUGGAGAGGAGACUGGAAUUCAUGGUGUAGCAGUGAAAUGCGCAGAUAUCAGGAGGAACACCAAUUGCGAAGGCAGCUCGCUGGGACGUUACUGACGCUGAGACGCGAAAGCGUGGGGAGCAAACAGG